rnacentral:lncRNA from 1 species
AAACAGUAAACUUAAUGCACAACUACCACUAGGCUAGCCAACAUCUUGACCAACUUACGAGUAAAAUUACGAGGGAGAGACACGCGGGCUGUGGACCAUAUCUCGGAAACGGGGAUCAUUCGAUGUCCAUUUUCCAUUUGGGAUUUUAUACUAAGUUCGUACUGUAGUAUUUUUCUCUGGGAAAAAAAAAAGGGCCAUGAAUGCGCCAAGACGCUCGGAUCUUGAACUUUGUUAGAUUAACACACAGCCGGGAGCCCGGGACAGCCCUAAAAGGUUCGACGAUACGAAGUUCGGGAUCCUUAAAACAAACUCUCAUCCAAUACGCCGUCAUGAAUUCACAAGCCACAGCUGACCAUCCCGGAAAUGUAUUACUCAUUUGCCAAUCAAUCUGGAUACAAAUUAGCCGAUCGAUGGAACUAGUUUAUGCGUUGGUCGAUAUCGCGCUAAAAUGACGACAGCUAAUACAGAGUAUACAGAGUAAUGAUCAACAACCUGACGGAGUAUUUAAUUCUUUCGCCUAGCUUCCAAUGUCUACCUAGUACAUAAGAGAAAAAGCAAACAAGGGACGUGAUAUUACAAUACAGACAAUCAAACCAGAUGAUCCUUGGAUCUACUUGAUAUUUUGCAGAGAUGGGACCGAGAUGGAGUCAUGCGAAGCGCAGCUUUGUGUAACGAUCCAUGGAUAUUUGCGGAGAUUCGGGGACGGGGACUGACUGGAAAUAAUCUCCAAGGUUAGUAGUUCCCGACAGCUUGUUUACGCUUAUUUGCUAUGAGUUGGAUUUUGAG